rnacentral:rRNA from 1 species
AAGAGAUAAGUGCUGAAAGCAUCUAAGCACGAAACUUGCCCCGAGAUGAGUUCUCCCUGACCCUUUAAGGGUCCUGAAGGAACGUUGAAGACGACGACGUUGAUAGGCCGGGUGUGUAAGCGCAGCGAUGCGUUGAGCUAACCGGUACUAAUGAACCGUGAGGCUUAACCUUACAACGCCGAAGCG